GCCCCCGUUGUGUAGCGGCCUAGCACGCCGCCCUCUCAAGGCGGUAGCGCCGGUUCGAAUCCGGUCGGGGGUG
rnacentral:tRNA from 1 species